rnacentral:rRNA from 1 species
AAGAAAGCUUGCUUUCUUUGCUGGCGACCGGCGCACGGGUGAGUAACACGUAUCCAACCUACCCUUUACUCGGGGAUAGCCUUUCGAAAGAAAGAUUAAUACCCGAUAGCAUAAUGAUUCCGCAUGGUUUCAUUAUUAAAGGAUUCCGGUAAAGGAUGGGGAUGCGUUCCAUUAGGUUGUUGGUGGGGUAACGGCCCACCAAGCCUUCGAUGGACAGGGGUUCCGAGAGGAAGGUCCCCCACAUUGGAACUGAGACACGGUCCAAACUCCUACGGGAGGCAGCAUG